GGCAAGUCUCUGGCUUAGGUGGAGUUGGUGUUGGCGGUGUUACGACCGGUGGGCUUGGUGUUGGUGGCGUAACAACAGGUGGCGGUGGGCACGGUGAUGGCGGUGGCGGUGGGCACGGUGAUGGCGGCGUUACGACGGGUGAAGGCGUAUGAGUGGGUGGUUUAGGGGUGGACGGAGGUGGUUUAACAGUGGGCGGUUUCGUGGGUGGUUUCGGGGUAGACGGAGGAGGUUUAACGGUGGGCGGUUUCGUGGGUGGUUUCGGGGUGGACGGAGGUGGUUUAACGGUGGGCGGUUUCGUGGGUGGUUUCGGGGUGGGAUGAGGUUUGGUAGGGGGUUUCGGAUGUGGGUGUGGUUUGACAGUGGGCGGUUUGGUAGGGGGUUUAGGGUGUGGGUGUGGUUUGACGGUGGGUGGUUUGGGAGGUUUUACUGCCGGUGGUUUAGGCGGUUUGCUAGGAUGUUUAGGCGGUUUGUGGGGGUGAGGUGAUGGUUUAGGAGGGCUACAGUCGCAAGCGAAGGAGACGGCAAGAAAGCCAAGGAAGAGGAGGAUAAGAAAAGAGAGGUUUUGUGUACGAGACCCCAUUUUUCUAGAGUGAGGGUGUGGUUUACCCAAA
rnacentral:lncRNA from 1 species